rnacentral:rRNA from 1 species
CCUACGGGAGGCAGCAGUGGGGAAUUUUCCGCAAUGGGGGAAACCCUGACGCAGCAACGCCACGUGGAGGAUGAAGUCCCUUGGGACGUAAACUCCUUUCGACCGGGACGAUAAUGACGGUACCGGGAGAAGAAGCCCCGGCUAACUCCGUGCCAGCAGCCGCGGUAAU